UACGGAGGGUGCGAGCGUUAUCCGGAAUCAUUGGGCGUAAAGGGCGCGUAGGUGGCUUCUUAAGCGUGCGGUGAAAGCCUGGGGCUCAACCCCGGGUCGGCCGUGCGAACUGGGGGGCUGGAGCACUGUAGAGGCAGGCGGAAUUCCGGGUGUAGCGGUGGAAUGCGUAGAGAUCCGGAAGAACACCGGUGGCGAAGGCGGCCUGCUGGGCAGUUGCUGACACUGAGGCGCGACAGCGUGGGGAGCAAACAGG
rnacentral:rRNA from 1 species